rnacentral:tRNA from 1 species
GGCAGCGUAGCUCAGUUGGUGAGAGCGCCGGAUUCAUAACCCGGAGGUCGGCGGUUCAAAUCCGCCCGCUGCUA